rnacentral:rRNA from 1 species
UGCAGUCGAACGAUGACCACUUCGGUGGGGAUUAGUGGCGAACGGGUGAGUAACACGUGGGCAAUCUGCCCUGCACUCUGGGACAAGCCCUGGAAACGGGGUCUAAUACCGGAUACUGAUCAUCUUGGGCAUCCAAGGUGUUCGAAAGCUCCGGGCGGGUGCAGGAUGAGCCCGCGGCCUAUCAGCUUGUUGGUGAGGUAAUGGCUCACCAAGGCGACGACGGGUAGCCGGCCUGAGAGGGGCGACCGGCCACACUGGGAACUGAGACACGGCCCAGACUCCUACGGGAGGCAGCAGUGGGGGAAUAUUGCACAAUGGGCGAAAGCCUGAUGCAGCGACGCCGCGUGAGGGAUGACGGCYUUCGGGUUGUAAACCCUCUUUCAGCAGGGAAGAAGCGAAAGUGACGGUACCUGCAGAAGAAGCGCCGGCUAACUACGUGCCAGCAGCCGCGGUAAAUACGUAGGGCGCGAGCGUUGUCCGGAAUUAUUGGGCGUAAAGAGCUCGUAGGCGGCUUGUCACGUCGGUUGUGAAAGCCCGGGGCUUAACCCCGGGUCUGCAGUCGAUACGGGCAGGCUAGAGUUCGGUAGGGGAGAUCGGAAUUCCUGGUGUAGCGGUGAAAUGCGCAGAUAUCAGGAGGAACACCGGUGGCGAAGGCGGAUCUCUGGGCCGAUACUGACGCUGAGGAGCGAAAGCGUGGGGAGCGAACAGGAUUAGAUACCCUGGUAGUCCACGCCGUAAACGGUGGGCACUAGGUGUGGGCAACAUUCCACGUUGUCCGUGCCGCAGCUAACGCAUUAAGUGCCCCGCCUGGGGAGUACGGCCGCAAGGCUAAAACUCAAAGGAAUUGACGGGGGCCCGCACAAGCGGCGGAGCAUGUGGCUUAAUUCGACGCAACGCGAAGAACCUUACCAAGGCUUGACAUACACCGGAAACGUCUGGAGACAGGCGCCCCCUUGUGGUCGGUGUACAGGUGGUGCAUGGCUGUCGUCAGCUCGUGUCGUGAGAUGUUGGGUUAAGUCCCGCAACGAGCGCAACCCUUGUCCCGUGUUGCCAGCAGGCCCUUGUGGUGCUGGGGACUCACGGGAGACCGCCGGGGUCAACUCGGAGGAAGGUGGGGACGACGUCAAGUCAUCAUGCCCCUUAUGUCUUGGGCUGCACACGUGCUACAAUGGCCGGUACAAUGAGCUGCGAUACCGUGAGGUGGAGCGAAUCUCAAAAAGCCGGUCUCAGUUCGGAUUGGGGUCUGCAACUCGACCCCAUGAAGUCGGAGUCGCUAGUAAUCGCAGAUCAGCAUUGCUGCGGUGAAUACGUUCCCGGGCCUUGUACACACCGCCCGUCACGUCACGAAAGUCGGUAACACCCGAAGCCGGUGGCCCAACCUCCUUGUG